CUCCAGCCUACACCAGAAGUGGUGUCCUGUCCUGGAGAUGGUGGUGAACUUUUUGAAACAGCGACACCUGCUGGUUAAUGGUCCUUAAAUAGCAGGAGACAGAGAGGAACCAAGGAAUUAAAUUGGUUCAUAUGCUGGACCACCAGGAAUACAGACACGGUUACUUCUGGGGAGCCAACAAAGUAGUAUAAGCCACCACCAGCCACCACCA